rnacentral:rRNA from 1 species
UACAGAGGUCUCGAGCGUUAAUCGGAUUCAUUGGGCUUAAAGCGUACGUAGGCGGAUGUGCAGGCAUCGUGUGAAAUCCCCUGGCUCAACCAGGGAACUGCUCGGUGAACCGCACGUCUUGAGGCAAGUAGAGGCUGUCGGAACGAUAGGUGGAGCGGUGAAAUGCGUAGAUAUCUAUCGGAACGCCGAAGGUGAAAACAGGCAGCUGGGCUUGAUCUGACGCUGAGGCACGAAAGCGUGGGGAGCGAACGGG